CUGCUGGUGGUGUUCUAUGAGUCAAUCAGAAUUUCAGAUGUAUUUUUUUUUAUUUAAAAAGUAUUUUAAAUUGGUAGCAAAAAAAAAAAAAAUUCUGCCAAAGAGGACUUGGAGAAAGCUUAAUUAGUUCUCAAGUGGUAAUACAAUAGAGGAAAAUGAAAGGGAUCCCCAAAUGACUUCUUUUUGUCAUUCAUCUUGCAAAGAACUGGAUCAAUUGACAGCAGAGGAGCAAUCCACCAUGGAAAGAGCUAAACAGGUCCCUGACAAUAGAAAAUUGGAUACAGACCAGAAGAAAUGCAUGUUGAGGCCACCUGUGCAUACAGUAGUGAUAUUUGGCAACUCAGGGAAGAGAGCAAGUAUUUCAGGAUUCUAUCCCUGG